AAAAGCCGUGUACGGGAAAACCGUAUGCACGGUUUGAUGAGGGGGAACAGGCUUUCCUGAUUAUGCAUCGGCUAGUGAGGCACCGCCAGACGAAAGAGGCGGCAACAGAUAGGCUGACGCUAAGGUCAAAAAGGCCUGUUCUCUACUCUAC
rnacentral:ncRNA from 1 species